AUAAUGUUGAGUUUGAUGAUGGCUCUGAUUGAACGCUGUCCAAGUACUUGACACAUGCUAAUUGAACGAUUAAUUAGUUUAUUAAACUAAUUAAUAGUGGUGUACAGGUGAGUAAAAGAUAAUUUGGCUACCUUAAAGUAAGGAGUAAAUCUUCUUAUAAUAAAAAAAGGUCUUAUAAAAGGUCCGCUUUAAGAUGUUAAUCUUUAUCCCGGAAAGUAGUAGGAAAGGUAAUGACUUUUCUAGCUAAACCCGUAGUCGUGACUGAAAGGUCGAUCGACCACAUUGGGUCUGAAAAAACCCCAAUGCGUAUUAGUACAGCAGUGAGGAAUAUUGGUCAAUAGCCGAAAGGCUGAACCAGUAACUUGGAAGAAUGAAAAUGUAUUAAAAGAAUACAGUAACGAUUCUCUCGUAUAAAAUUCUAAAUAGAAUAAUGAUAAUGACAAAUUUCUAUUUAUAAGUCUUGACCAAAAUACGUGCCAGCAGUCGCGGUAAUACGUAAAAGACUAGUGUUAGUCAUCUUUAUUAGGUUUAAAGGGUACCUAGACGGUAAAUUAAACUCAAAAAGAGUACUUUUUUACUAGAGUUUUAUGAAAGAAGGUUGAAUUUCUGGAGUAGUGAUAGAAUAUUGUGAUACCAGAGAGACAGGUAACGGCGAAGGCAACCUUCCGUGUAAAAACUGACGUUGAGGGACGAAGGCUAGGGUAGCGAAAAGGAUUAGAUACCCUUGUAGUCCAAGCAGACAAUGAUGAAUGCCAUAGACUAGAUAUAUAUUUAGUUCAUAAAUGAAAAUGUAAGCAUUCCACCUCAAGAGUAAUAUGGCAACAUAUAAACUGAAAUCAUUAGACCGUUUCUGAAACCAGUAGUGAAGUAUGUUGUUUAAUUCGAUGAUCCGCGAAAAACCUUACCACAGUUUGAAUAGAUUACAAGCGCUGCACGGCUGUCUUUAGUUUAUGUCGUGAGAUAUGGUUAAUUCCUUAAAUAAACGAAAACCCUCAUUUUAUUUAUAAAAAAUAAACAAAACCCACCCCUUACCCUUACUUCAUUGUUUAUUUAUAUAUAAAAUGGUUCGCUAAGAAAUUAGAUUGCUCAAAGGGAUUAAGACAAGUCAUCAUGGCCUAAAUACUGUGGGCUAUAGACGUGCCGCAUAUGCCUAUACAAAGGGAUGCGAUAUUGUAAAAUGGAGCUAAUCCCACAAAAUAGGAUAUAAUACGGAUUGUAGUCUGUAAUUCGACUACAUGAAAAAGUAAUUACUAGUAAUCGUGAAUCACCAUCGUCACGGUGAAUUUUGCAUCAGUUAGGUACUAACCACUCGUCAGGCGCUGAAAGAAGUAUGUGCAAGAAGUUUGAUUUUCUUAUAUAAUCAAUAUUACGCCCUAG
rnacentral:rRNA from 1 species